GAGGAACGCUGGCGGCGUGCCUAAUACAUGCAAGUAGAACGCUGAAGAGAGGAGCUUGCUCUUCUUGGAUGAGUUGCGAACGGGUGAGUAACGCGUAGGUAACCUGCCUGGUAGCGGGGGAUAACUAUUGGAAACGAUAGCUAAUACCGCAUAAAAUUGAUUAUUGCAUGAUAAUUAAUUGAAAGAUGCAACUGCAUCACUACCAGAUGGACCUGCGUUGUAUUAGCUAGUUGGUGAGGUAACGGCUCACCAAGGCGACGAUACAUAGCCGACCUGAGAGGGUGAUCGGCCACACUGGGACUGAGACACGGCCCAGACUCCUACGGGAGGCAGCAGUAGGGAAUCUUCGGCAAUGGGGGGAACCCUGACCGAGCAACGCCGCGUGAGUGAAGAAGGUUUUCGGAUCGUAAAGCUCUGUUGUAAGAGAAGAACGGGUGUGAGAGUGGAAAGUUCACACUGUGACGGUAUCUUACCAGAAAGGGACGGCUAACUACGUG
rnacentral:rRNA from 1 species